AUGUAAUCUUUUUACAUAAUUUAGUAAUUACAAUUUGAGGGACCUGACUGAUAACCCAGGCAGAAAGCCCAGAGAGUUUAAUUUGCAAACCCUAAAUUUAACCCUGUUAUUUUUCAAGACACUAUAAAUCCUGUUUGCAUAGGGGGUACUGUUGUACUCGGGAGACUUUGCGCAGCACAAAUAUAAAGUGUUUCAAAGCAAU